rnacentral:rRNA from 1 species
UACGGGGGGGGCAAGCGUUGUUCGGAAUUACUGGGCGUAAAGGGCUCGUAGGCGGCCAACUAAGUCAGACGUGAAAUCCCUCGGCUUAACCGGGGAACUGCAUCUGAUACUGGAUGGCUUGAAUCCGGGAGAGGGAUGCGGAAUUCCAGGUGUAGCGGUGAAAUGCGUAGAUAUCUGGAGGAACACCGGUGGCGAAGGCGGCAUCCUGGACCGGUAUUGACACUGAGGAGCGAAAGCCAGGGGAGCAAACGGG